rnacentral:rRNA from 1 species
AACGAACGCUGGCGGCAUGCCUAACACAUGCAAGUCGAACGAGACCUUCGGGUCUAGUGGCGCACGGGUGCGUAACGCGUGGGAACCUGCCCUUAGGUUCGGAAUAACUCCCCGAAAGGGGUGCUAAUACCGGAUAAUGUCUUCGGACCAAAGAUUUAUCGCCUUUGGAUGGGCCCGCGUUUGAUUAGCUAGUUGGUAGGGUAAAAGCCUACCAAGGCGACGAUCCAUAGCUGGUAUGAGAGGAUGAUCAGCCACACUGGGACUGAGACACGGCGCAGAAUACUACGGGAGGGAGCAGUGGGGAAUAUUGGACAAUGGGCGAAAGCCUGAUACAGCAAUGCCGCGUGAGUGAUGAAGGCCUUAGGGUUGUAAAGCUCUUUUAAACGGGAUGAUAAUGACAGUACCGGGAGAAUAAGCUCCGGCUAACUCCGUG